AGUGAACGCUGGCGGCAGGCCUAACACAUGCAAGUCGAACGAACGCACAGUAAGAGCUUGCUCUUACGGGUGGCGCGUGGCGGAAGGGUGAGGAAUGCAUCGGAUUACACUUUUUCGUGGGGGAUAACGUAGGGAAACUUCUGCUAAUACAGCAUAUGUCCUACGGAUAAAAGCAGGCGUUCUUCUGACUUUUUGCGACUGUAAUAGCCCAUGUCGGAUUCGCUAGUUGGCUGGGUAAAGGCCCACCAAGGCGACGAUCCGUAGCGGGUCUGAGAGGGUGAACAGCCACACUGGAACUGAGACACGGUCCAGACUCCUACGGGAGGCAGCAGUGGGGAAUAUUGCACAAUGGGCGAAAGCCUGAUCCAGCCAAACCGCGUGAGGGAUGAAGGCCUUCGGGUGGUAAAACGCUGUUGUUAGGAAAGAAAAAAAGUAGUUUAAUACCCCGCUGUACUGACGGUACCCAAAGAAUAAGCACCGGCUAACUUCGUG
rnacentral:rRNA from 1 species